AUUGAACGCUGGCGGCAGGCCUAACACAUGCAAGUCGAACGAGUGGCGGACGGGUGAGUAAUGUCUGGGAAAAUGCCUGAUGGAGGGGGAUCACUACUGGAAACGGUAGCUAAUACCGCAUACCAUCGGAUGUGCCCAGAUGGGAGUAGCUAGUAGGUGGGGUAAAGGCUCACCUAGGCGACGAUCCCUAGCUGGUCUGAGAGUAGGACCAGCCACACUGGAACUGGGACACGGUCCCGACUCCUACGGGAGGCAGCAGUGGUGAAUAUUGCACAAUGGGAGCAAGCCUGAUGCAGCCAUGCCGAGUGUAUGAAGAAGGCUCUCGGGUUGUAAAGUACUUUCAGCGGGGAGGCGUUACCCGCAGAAGAAGCACCGGCUAACUCCGUGCCAGCAGCCGCGGUAAUUC
rnacentral:rRNA from 1 species